AAAAUUUGAGGAAAAUGACAUCUAUAAUUUUUAUCAUAGAGCCAUUUAUAUUCUAAUAUUAAAAGAGAUUUUAAAAUUAUGUAACUGAAGUUUUUUGUUUUGUUUUUGUUACAGUCCCAGCUGCUCAGGAGGCUAAGGUGAGAGUAUCACUUGAGCCCAGGAGUUUGAGGUUGUAGUGAGCUAUGAUCCUGCCACUGUACUCCAGCCUGGGCAACAGAGCAAGACCCCAUCUCUGGAAAGAAAAAUUUGUGUGUGUGUGUAUCUCAUAAGCCUCUGGCUGCUCUCCAAACUCUUAUUUAGUCUUAUCCAGUAGAAACACAUUAACCAUCAAAUAAAUCCUUGAUUUUUACUGAAAAAUAAAGAAGCUUAUAUUUAGCAAAUGUACUAUCACAAUAGUACUUCUCAAAAAGUUCCUGUUUAAUGCAUUAUGUCAUCAACUGAUUAAUGAAAAGGGACUCACAACAAACGUGAGUCGUAUCUGAAGCUACAAAAUAGAGCUAUUCUAUCAUCCUCCUUCUGAUGAAAAUUAUCUAGACUAUGUAUUGUAUUAUAUACAUAUUUUGUAUAUGUCAUUAUAUUAAAAUAUAUACCGUUUUAGACUGUAAAGACCCUCAGAGAUAUUCUGCACCAGUGGUUCUCAGAUGGGAUUCACUUUCAAAAGCUGUAAAACUUGUUUAGACUAUGCAUCCUGCAACAGGUAAACUGGAAUCUCUGUGAUAGGGCCCCAGGUAUCAAAGGUUUAUAAAUUCCCUAAGUGAUUCCAAUAUACAGUCUAAGUGUUAAGAACUAUUGGCUUAGGCCAGUGGUCUUCAAACUCAAAGGUACAUAAGAAUCACCUGCAGAGUUUUUUAAAACAUGGAUUCCUGGCCCUCACCCCUAGAGAAUCUAAUUAAGUAGAUCUGGGAUUGGUCUGAAAAUUUUCAAGAUCUCAAGUGCUAUGGACUGAAUUUUGUUCCCCAAAAUUCAUAUGUAAGCCCCAACCCCCAAUGUGACCAUAUUUGGAAAUAGAGCUUUUAGGAUUAAAGAAAGGCAAAAUGAGGUCAUAAGGGUGGUGCCUUAUAAGAGGGAGAAAGAGAAAUCACUCUAUCUCCAUGUGCAGGCCACGUGAGAACAUAGGCUACUGUCUGCAAGCAAGGAAGAGAACCCUCAUCAGAAACAGAAUUGGUUAGCACCUUGAUCUUGAACUUCCUAGCCUCCAGCACCGUGAGAAAUAAAUUUCUAUUGUUUUAGCCAUCCAGUCUAUGGUAUUUUGUCAUGGCAUCCCAGGCUGACUAAUGAAUCAGUGAUGCUAAUAGCAGUGGUCCAUGGACCAUAUUUUUGAGCACCUCUAGCCUAGGCCACAUCCCCCAGAAAUUUCGCUUUAAUUUGUCUGGAGGUAGUACAGGGCAUCAUUUAUUUUCCCAAAGUUUCCUGGGUGGUCCUAAAGUAUAACCAUACUUGAGAACAAAUGAAGUAGAAUGGUUUCUUCUAUUUAUAGCUAAGGACACUAAGACUCAAAAGAAGUUAAGUGAUUUUCCCAAGUUAUCAUGGUUUAUGCUACUGCUGAUUUUUCCAAAUGUACAGGGGAAGUAAAAACAGAAUUUCUUCUAGGGUCAAUUUAGUCCUAGAACCUAGAACUUUCAGUUUCCAGAAUUAACCCAUUAAUUUCCCCCCAGACAACAUUAAAAUUUGUCAAUUUCAGGCAGAUUCAUUUAAAGUAACUUUUCCAUUAUACUACAAUCCAAGAUUGUUGUAUCCUAUAUCUAUUUCUACUUUGUAACAGUUGCUUUUUUUUGCCACGUUUAAUGACUGAUCAGAAAGUGAGAUAUUUAAAUAUAUAUAUACACACACACAUAUAUGCAUAUAUGUGUGUGCUUGUGUGUGUGUGUCUAUAUGAUAGAUACUUGCCACAUGUUUAAUGACUGAUCAGAAAGUGAGAUUUUAAAAUAUACAUAUAUAUACACAUGUGUGUGCUUUGUGUGUGUGUGUGUAUAUAUAUAUGAUAGAUACUUAGCUGAUCUUCACACCACAACAU
rnacentral:lncRNA from 1 species